rnacentral:rRNA from 1 species
AGAGUUUGAUCCUGGCUCAGGACGAACGCUGGCGGCGUGCUUAACACAUGCAAGUCGAACGGAAAGGCCCUUCGGGGUACUCGAGUGGCGAACGGGUGAGUAACACGUGGGUGAUCUGCCCUGCACUUUGGGAUAAGCCUGGGAAACUGGGUCUAAUACCGAAUAUGACCAUGCGCCUCCUGGUGUGUGGUGGAAAGCUUUUGCGGUGUGGGAUGGGCCCGCGGCCUAUCAGCUUGUUGGUGGGGUAAUGGCCUACCAAGGCGACGACGGGUAGCCGGCCUGAGAGGGUGACCGGCCACACUGGGACUGAGAUACGGCCCAGACUCCUACGGGAGGCAGCAGUGGGGAAUAUUGCACAAUGGGCGCAAGCCUGAUGCAGCGACGCCGCGUGAGGGAUGACGGCCUUCGGGUUGUAAACCUCUUUCAGCACAGACGAAGCGCAAGUGACGGUAUGUGCAGAAGAAGGACCGGCCAACUACGUGCCAGCAGCCGCGGUAAUACGUAGGGUCCGAGCGUUGUCCGGAAUUACUGGGCGUAAAGAGCUCGUAGGUGGUUUGUCGCGUUGUUCGUGAAAACUCACAGCUUAACUGUGGGCGUGCGGGCGAUACGGGCAGACUUGAGUACUGCAGGGGAGACUGGAAUUCCUGGUGUAGCGGUGGAAUGCGCAGAUAUCAGGAGGAACACCGGUGGCGAAGGCGGGUCUCUGGGCAGUAACUGACGCUGAGGAGCGAGAGCGUGGGGAGCGAACAGGAUUAGAUACCCUGGUAGUCC